AAAGUAAUGAAUCAUCCAGCUAUCUAUGAAGGUAGAGUAUGACAGAUGUGACAGUCCACAGAAGAUUCUGUCAGCAAUGAGAUAUCCAC